GAGGGUACAGCUUAGUGGUAGAGCUGCAUGCCUAGUAUCAUGUACAAAGUCCUGGGUUCAAACCCCAGUACCUCCA
rnacentral:tRNA from 1 species